rnacentral:rRNA from 1 species
UACAGAGGUCUCAAGCGUUUGUUCGGAUUCAUUGGGCGUAAAGGGUGCGUAGGUGGCGGGGUAAGUCAGGUGUGAAAUUUCGGAGCUUAACUCCGAAACUGCAUUUGAUACUGCCUUGCUUGAGGACUGGAGAGGAGACUGGAAUUUACGGUGUAGCAGUGAAAUGCGUAGAUAUUGGGAGGAACACCAGUGGCGAAGGCGGCUCACUGGACCGGUUCUGACGCUGAGGCGCGAAAGCGUGGGGAGCAAACGGGG